rnacentral:rRNA from 1 species
UACGGGGGGGGCAAGCGUUGUUCGGAAUUACUGGGCGUAAAGGGCUCGUAGGCGGCCAACUAAGUCAGACGUGAAAUCCCCAGGCUCAACCUGGGAACUGCGUCUGAUACUGGAUGGCUUGAAUUCGGGAGAGGGAUGCAGAAUUCCAGGUGUAGCGGUGAAAUGCGUAGAUAUCUGGAGGAACACCGGUGGCGAAGGCGACAUCCUGGACCAACACUGACGCUGAGGAGCGAAAGCCAGGGGAGCAAACGGG